CUCUGGGAGUUGGUGAUGGACAGGGAGGCCUGGGGUGCUGCAGUCCAUGGGGUUGCAAAGAGUCGGACACGACUGAGCGACUGAACUGAACUGAACUGAGUGAUCCAACAGUUUCGGCAGAAAUACAGGAAAAGUUAACAGAGAAGCAAACAGAUAAGAAACAUGGAUAAUUAGGCCCAAGAAGCCGUCCUGUUCACCUGAAAUUAGUGGUUUGUGCCCAAACUUCCUAGUCCAGUGAUUGGAGCUUGGAGCCUCUGAGUACUUGAGCUCAGUGUCGGACUCUUUGCGACUCCAUGGACUGUAGCCUGCCAGGCUCCUUUGUCCAUGGGGUUCUCCAGACAGAAUUACUGGAGUGGGUUGCCGUUCCCUUCUCCAGGGGAUCUUCCUGACCCAGGGAUCAAACCCGGGUCUCCUGUGUCUCCUGCACCGCUGGUGGAUUCUUUACCCUCUGCAUCAGCUGGGAAGCCUGGGGCCUCUGGCAGAGGCUAAUGGACAAAGAUUUGGAUGCCUCAGUGUGGAGGAGGGACAGAAACGGAGUGUAGGAGGAGCUGACACCUCCAGGUCGUGGCUGCAGGCCUGGCCACUGGGGCCCCUCGAUGCAGAAGGACCCUUUGUGCAGAUUCCUCCUCCUUCUCGCCCAGGAGCUGGCAUCUCAGCUCCACCUCAGCUUCGACCUUGCUCUCCGCUCCUGUGGUUUUUCAGGGAACCAAGCCCUCUGGUGGAUGCCUUUCUGGGGAAAAGAAGAAAGAGAGAGGCUGACGGAGGCAGAGCCACUGAAAGGUCUGCCGGGCUGUGCAGGCCCUGCCCACUUCCUUUCUCUUGCAGUGAGUUUCGUCCACACGGUGUCAGAAGGGCCGUGAGUGGCGGUGGCGAGGGGCCAGUCACCUCCCCAGCCCUGGCUCAGGCUCCUGAUGCCCAACCUUUGUGUGUACUGAGUGGGCUGGCUGGACGCUCAGGUCUUUAUCAGUUGUGACCACACCCUCCUGUAAGGUCCCGGGGAGAAAGCAGAACCAAACCCUGGGAAAGAUCAACAGCCACGCUUUUUGGUUCUUCCAGGUGCAGCCCUUCCAACCUGAGGUCGUAGAGGAACUGAGGCAGCAGAGGGCGGGGCGGGAAUCCCAUGGGUCCAGGGUCACCGCACCCAUAUCCAGAAGUGAAUUCUUCUGUUUAUUUCUGUCCACGGGACCGAACAGCCACUGACAUCCACCGGACCAGCAUCACCCAGGGGAGCUGGCCUUCGUCCUGGCCUCUCCUGGCCUCAGAGGAAUCCAGAUCACAGUCGGCAGGGUUAGAUUGCUCAGGCCAACCGCUCCCUUCAGAGAUACACAAACUAGGGCUUGUGGAAUCUCAGGGCGAAUACAGAACACGCUGGCAGCCAGAUCACCUGACCUCCCCCCGCCCCAGGGUGGGGGUUGUCUGACCACCCCAUCACCUGACCUCAGGUCACCACCCUCCCCUGCAGUGUGGUUCUCUACUGCGUAACAUAAUAUAAUCACGGAGUAACUCCUGAGGACAGGGGCAGAGAUCACGUGGCCGCCUGAGAAUUCUGCCUUCAACAGGGCUGGAGGCUCCCGUCCCCCUCACCUGGCCAGACCCCCAGGCCAGCUCCUGGGAGGAAGUGUCCUUCUCAGCUCUUGACUGCCCCUAAUUACUCAGCGAGGUUGGACCAGACCUCCCAAUACAUCAAUUAGAACAGGGUGGUGGACAGGCCGGUGGGUGGAUGGCUUUUGUCUCCCAGAGGCGAGUUCCCUUCCACCCAGCUGGCCCAGACCCGCGUGUCUCAGCCGGUGGUUUCGGCGUCCACGCCCAGAGUGCAGAGAUGCCCGUGGGACGCCAGGAGGGAAGAUGUUCCAACACUUGACAGUCCUAGCGGUGGUGCCCUUCCAGCCAGGCUCCCCCGGCACCCCAUUCUGUUCUAUUAUUUUAUUUGGCCAUGUCAGGUGGCUUGUGGGAUCUCAGGUUGCUGACGAGGUAUUGAACCUGGACCACUGCAGUGAAAGCCCAGAAUCGUAGGAACCAGGGAACUACCCACACCCACUGUACACACACACUUUCAUUUUGCAUUUCUACCUGGGUCCCUCAAACUUUACUACGCCUUAACUUUAAUAAAUAUUUAUUGAGAGCAAGCUCAGUGUACUGGCAUAGGGGCUGGAGGCUAGGGGUCAGGACCCUUGCCUCCAGAAGACUGAAAGGCAGAGAAAUAUAAGCUCAAAACCAGUGGCUUCCUGUCCAGGUUCUGAAACGUACUGGCCCUACGACUUCGGCCCUAUGACUUCCUCGUUUGCUUGCCUGAAAAACGGGUGAUACUCAUGGGUUGUUGUUGAGACACUAAAUAUACAGAUGGAUCAUGGCCAGAGCUUCUAUAAAAAUAGAUCUCUGACCUGCAAUCAGCGGCAACCAUGCCAGGAAGCCGGCCUGCUAGCCGUAAGUCAGACUUGUAGGAAAUCAGACCGCUAUCCCGGACAAGUGGUCCAGAAAGUCAAACAGUUA